AUCUGAUCAACCAGGAUCAAUAGAGGAGUGAAGAUUCACAUUUCUUUGAAGCUGGUUUUCCUUUGGCUGCUAGAGCAGGUGCCUGGAUGCAGGGAAAUGCCUAUGUUGAUGCCGUUGUCUCCACGGGGACUCUUCUUACCUGGGACUUGGUAUCCAACUACAGGGACAUGGAACAAGCAAAGACAGGCUCACUUCAAAUCUGAAAGAAAAAAACAAAACAAAACAAAACCACUGGCAACAUUCUGACCUGACCUUAAGGAGCUCCAGACAAUAUCAGUCCAGGAACAGCUGUGGGAGGAAUGCAAGUUUGGGAGGCAGAAGAUUCUCCCUUCCAGCAUGGUAUUGGGGACCCAGGAGAGGACAGACAAGUCUGUUGAUUGCUGUGUGUCUGUCCCAUUGUAGGCUGUCUGAGGAUAGCAGCCUCAGGAUCCUUCUGUAACAGCCUGAGUUGGAGGGUACUCUUCUUUUGACCACACAAGGUAUAGGGAAGCUGGGCAAGUGGCAUACAUGAGUUCAAGGUAUUUGGGAAAGGGAAAUACCCUCAGCCUGUGUACCUUAUCAUAGUCAUGCUGCCUGUAGGCCAAUUCAAGGAACAGUCAGAUCACUGGAAAUGCCUAUUUCACUCUCUCCAGACACAUAUAAACAUUUCUUACCCAGCCUCCCCCUGGCUCAGCUCCUCAUCCGAGCUCCCAGAAGUGACAGAAAGCAAUUAAGGGGGAAGCCCGGCCUCAUUACCUACAGAAACAGGAGUGCGAGAACACCUCUGUGGCCCUGUACUGUUGACUUGAGGGUUGUUCACGGAGUAUGGAGGUCACGGGUGUACCCCACGAUGCCUAUGCCAACGGUGUGAGGAGAAGUGGAGACGACUCACCACACAGGCUCCACAUCUCUCGAAGUAUUUUUCCCUUUAAAAUAAUUUACUAAUUUGUCAUCUUCCAUUCACAGAUAUCAAUCCCCAAUACCCAUCAUGUGCCAGACACUAUGUUCAACGUUAGGCUCAUAGGAUUUGGAAACAGUGGAAAUUAUAUUCCUAGGAACUUGAGAAGAGAAGAAGCAUGGGUGUCCACUGCUGUGGGAUCCCUAGGCUCAGCCCACUUACCGUCAUGGAGCAUUGCUCUGCAGAGGGAAGUGACAAAUUGGUUUGAUGGGAUUCUGUGAGAUCUGUCACAUGUACUUAAAAGCUGUGGGCAACAGGCCAAGAGCUUCAGAAAUGGAAAGGAUGUGUCUAAGCUUGUGUAUUCCAAACUGGGAGGGGAUAAGUCCAGUUAGGAGGGGUCUAGAUCAUCGCUUUGAUGGGAAGGAAGUGCCAGGCUAUGAAGGUAUGACCUUCAUACUGAGGGCUCAGCUUGCAUCUAAGGGAGAAGAGGUAGCUUUCUCAGCACAGAAGGGGGAGAGAUGAGCUUUCUAACAAUCAUCACAAGAAUGCUGUUUAGGGAAUGCUUUGAAAAUACAGAAAACGCUAUGAAGGAAAGCUAGAGACAGGCCUCUUCCUUAACAGGACAAACCAGAGUUGUUGCAUUGUUGCAUUCUCCCUUCAGUUCUGAGCUAUGAGGGGGGCUGUACAGGAAUUGGUUCCUGGGCGUGAUUUAGCAAUUAACAUCUUUUUUGUAUCCUAUGGUUUGGUCUAGUAUCUGGGAAAACAGAUUUGAAAAAAGACAGGAAAUUAUGGUUGAAGGUAAGUGGACCAGUGGUGGUGAACAUCAUCAUUUUUUGUUUACCUUUUCUUGUCAUAGCCUAAGAGAGUUCUUCCUUUGUGGCUGCAGAUCAGGCUGCCUCCCCGAGAGGACUUGGGAGAGUGAUGCGCUUACAACAACUAUAGGCCCACAUUUUCAAAAAUGCUGAUUUCUUCACGCAGGUUUUGACACUGACAACUCAGGUCUGUAUUUUACUGCUGGUGUGUCCUGUAGCAUUCAACCCUCAAAGGGCUUUUUG